CGGGAGGCCACGAUCCGGGCGGGCCGCGCGGGGCGCGUGGUGCGCGAGCGCGCGCGCGUGGGGCGAUUUAUUUAUUUAUUGAUGAGAGACACAGAGAGUGAGCCUGAAGACACAGGCAGAGGGAGAAGCAGGCUCCCUGCAGGGAGCCCAAUGUGGGACUCGAUCCUGGACCCCGGGGAUCAUGACCUGAGCGAAAGGCAGACGCUCAACCGCUGAGCCACCGAGGCAUCCCUCAUUACUGGUUUUAAUGUCCCUUUUCAGUGCACAUGGCAAAUUCUCGAUGAUGAUGAUGAUGAUGAUGACGGCGACGAUGACGACGACCAGGUCUCACGUUUCCAUGCUUUUUCAAGGUGCAGCGGCAAAAGGAUAAUGCACCUGGCAUGCUGUAGCAGAUACUCCUUUGAAGAGAAAGAUUAAGCAACUUACCCAAGCCAUUCAGCUAGUAGAUGGUGGACCCAAGAUACGAAGCAUCUCCCACACCUCCUGCAUCAUGGAUUUCCUACAAGGACCAUGCUCUGUGCAACAAGUGAGUUCUCUUUCUCCUUGGAGGUCACACUCACCAGGCUUUUGAUCAUCCCAAACAAGGCACUGCACUUUGUGUCCCACCUGUCCCCCCUGCCAUUCAUUUUGCCCUUUCGCAAACAGACUGUGGUUCUGGACCUAGGGAACUAAAUCUACCCAUAGUGGCUAGUACCUCGGUGGUUGUGUGCUAAUUUUGUUGGAGGUGUUUGGACGAUG